GGGAGAGCGCGGCGGACUGCUGAUGCAAGCUGAUGGGGGAAGCAUGUAUCUAUCAGUGCGGGGAGCCUCGCUCCGCCCCGACAGCGGAGGUGGGCGCCAGGCAGAAAUUGCAGCACCAAACCCAGAGGGAGGAGAAAGGCAGAGAGAGAGAGAGAGAGAGUGUGUGUGUGUGCAGGUUUCACCUGGAACCGACACUAUCCGAGCCCCACAUCCCAACUUCCACUGAGCGGACAGCACCUAACUCGAGUUGCACGGAAUCGUCAGCUGGAUGCCUGUACAUCAUGCCUGACCCGGUGUUUAACUGUCAAUGGCUCCGAAAAAUGAGUUCCGCAGUUUGAGUCUGUGAAAUGACUGAAGAACCCAAACGACUCCUAAAAAAAAAUCUUCAAAAUCAUGGCAUCUCUGGACCUGGACUGCGAUUUGAACUGUGUUUUGAACGAGAAUUCUGCCAAGUGGAAGAUUUGAGCUGCAAA